CCCUUAGAUGUCCUGGGCCGCACGCGCGCUACACUGAGUGUCUGAGAUACGAGUCUGCCUGGUCCGGCAAGGUCUAGGUAAUCGCUAAAAGACACAUCAUGCUUGGGAUAGAUUAUUGCAAAUAUUAAUCUUGAACGAGGAAUUCCUAGUAAGCGCAAGUCAACAGCUUGCGUUGAUUACGUCCCUGCCCUUUGUACACACCGCCCGUCGCUACUACUGAUUGGAUGUUUAAGCGAGGUUCUCGAACUGCUUGCGACUUAGCUUCGGUGAGGUCGCAGUGUGGGAAGUGAACCUAGCUUUGGUGUCUAGAGGAAGUAAAAGUCGUAACA
rnacentral:rRNA from 1 species